CCAAGAAGUCCAACAUGUGCGCGAGUCAUUGGGUCCUACGAAACCUAAAGGCGUAAUGAAGGUGAAGGCAGGUUCGGCCUGUCGAGGUGAGAUCCUCGUCCUCGGGCGGGGCGCAUCACCGGCCCGUCUGCAAAGGCGGAGCAAGAGCGCACACGUUGGGACCCGAAAGAUGGUGAACUAUGCCUGAGCAGGAUGAAGCCAGAGGAAACUCUGGUGGAAGUCCGUAGCGAUUCUGACGUGCAAAUCGAUCGUCGAACUUGGGUAUAGGGGCGAAAGACUAAUCGAACCAUCUA
rnacentral:rRNA from 1 species